GCACCAAAUCAGGUCCGAUUCACUCUCUGUAGAAAACAGUUCCUACCACCCUUCUCUGAGACCCAGAAAAGUACAACAACCUAGGUCUGAUUCUCUACUUCCUCAAACCUUGUGUAGUUAUGUACACUUGUGCAAAAGUCGCUGUAAAAUGCUACCAAAUCAGAAUGGUAUCAUUUUACUCCCCCGUGCUUUGCACUGAUGUAGAGACAGGGCAGAGGAGAGUCUAGUCCCUCUAAUUUAAGGCCCAAGCUCUUUCUCUUCCCCAUGUCUCUGUCAGUCACCCUUUCGAACAUAUUGAUGAGAGGAGAACCACACUCUCCUUCCUUGUGCUAGGGUUUGGUAGCCUGAAUCUUUCCUCCUAUUUUCACCUUUAAAACCCCCCCUACCCCCCUGGCGAUAUAUAGCAGAUCCGUCACUCCUCUUUAAAUGGAUUACAGCUUGUUCUCCCCAUGUUAGCAACAAGAAGAAAGUCAAGGAAAGUGUGGGCCCCUUACUGAAUGAUGGAGGCAAUCUAGUGAGAGAGGAUGUGGAAAAAGCUAAUGUACUCAAUGCUUUUUUUGCCUCUGUCUUCACAAACAAGGUCAACUCCCAGACUACUGCACUGGGCAGCACAGCAUGGGGAGGAGGUGACCAGCCCUCUGUGAAGAAAGAAGUGGUUCGGGACUAUUUAGAAAAGCUGGACGAGCACAAGUCCAUGGGCUGGAUGCGCUGCAUCCGAGAGUGCUCAAGGAGUUGGCAGAUGUGCUUACAGAGCCCUUGUCCAUUAUCUUUGAAAACUCAUGGUGAUCUGGGGAAGUCCCGGAUGACUGGAAAAAGGCUAAUGUAGUGCCCAUCUUUAAAAAAGGGAAGAAGGAGGAUCUGGGGAACUACAGGCCAGUCAGCCUCACCUCAGUCCCUGGAAAAAUCAUGGAGCAGGUCCUCAAGGAAUCAAUUCUGAAGCACUUAGAGGAGAGGAAAGUGAUCAGGAAAAGUCAGCAUGGAUUCACCAAGGGCAAGUCAUGCCAGACUAAUCUAAUUGCCUUCUAUGACGAGAUAACUGGCUCUGUGGAUGAGGGGAAAGCGGUGGACAUGUUGUUCCUUGACUUAAGCAAAGCUUUUGACACGGUCUCCCACAGUAUUCUUGCCAGCAAGUUAAAGAAGUAUGGGCUGGAUGAAUGGACGAUAAGGUGGAUAGAAAGCUGGCUAGAUUGUCGGGCUCAACGGGUAGUGAUCAAUGGCUCCAUGUCUAGUUGGCAGCCGGUAUCAAGUGGGGUGCCCCAAGGGUCGGUCCUGGGGCCUGUUUUGUUCAAUAUCUUCAUAAAUGAUCUGGAGGAUGGUGUGGAUUGCACCCUCAGCAAGUUUGCAGAUGACACUAAACUGGGAGGAGAGGUAGAUACGCUGGAGGGUAAGGAUAGGAUACAGAGGGCCCUAGACAAAUUAGAGGAUUGGGCCAAAAGAAAUCUGAUGAGGUUCAACAAUGACAAGUGCAGAGUCCUGCACUUAGGACAGAAGAACCCCAUGCACCGCUACAGACUAGGGACCGAAUGGCUCGGCAGCAGUUCUGCAGAAAAGGACCUAGGGGUUACAGUGGACGAGAAGCUGGAUAUGAGUCAACAGUGUGCCCUUGUUGCCAAGAAGGCCAAUGGCAUUUUGGGAUGUAUACGUAGGGACAUUGCCAGCAGAUCGAGGGACGUGAUCGUUCCCCUCUAUUCAACAUUGGUGAGGCCUCAUCUGGAGUACUGUGUCCAUUUUUGGGCCCAACACUACAAGAAGGAUGUGAAAAAAUUGGAAAAUGUCCAGCAGAGGGCAACAAAAAUUAUUAGAGGACUGGAACACAUGACUUAUGAGGAGAGGCUGAGGGAAGAGAAGAAUGAGGGGGGAUUUGAUAGGUGCUUUCAACUACCUUUCAACUACCUGAAAGGGGUUCCAAAGAGGAUGGAUCUAGACUGUUCUCAGUGGUAGCUGAUGACAGAACAAGGAGUAAUGGUCUCAAGUUGCAGUGGAGGAGGUUUAGCUUGGAUAUUAGGAAAAACUUUUUCACUUGGAGGGUGGUGAAACACUGGAGUGCGUUACCUAGGGAGGUGGUGGAAUCUCCUUCCUUAGAUAUUUUAAAGGUCAGGCUUGACAAAGCCCUGGCUGGGAUGAUUUAGUUGGGGAUUGGUCCUGCUUUGAGCAGGAGGUUGGACUAGAUGACCUCCUGAGGUCCCUUCCAACCCUGAUAUUCUAUGAUUUGCCAGACCAAACCACGGGGACCUUCUGGCUGCCUCAGUUUAGUGCCCUUUGUACUGCCUGGCUGGCCCAGUCUGGUAGAUUACAUGGCAAUUAUGCUGUGGGGCCAGGAGGGAGACAGUAAAUUUUUGUCUUCUCUAUUUUUGGUUUCCAUUUAUUUCCCCUUCCUUAGACUGGCUCUCAAAUAUUUAUAUACAGUGGUUGGUAUUAAAAAUAGAGUCCUAUGUUUUAUUUAGUUAUACGGAUUUGCUAUAAUUAACCUCUCCCUUUCAAAAGUAUUCCACUGACUGAAAUUAUUAUUAGUACCCAGAUACCUUGAUGAUGGAUCUGUUAUAAAUAUUUACUAGAUAGAUUAAUAGAUUUUUAGGGCCCAAAGGACCAUUGUCUCAUCUGGGUUCCCUGCAUUACACAGAUCAUACAAUUUCAUCUAAUGAUUCCUGCAUCAAGCCUGUAACUUGUGGCUGAGCUAUAGCAUGUCUUUUAGAAAUGGAUAGUCUUGAUUUAAAGGCGUCAAGUGUGAGAGAGUUAGCAAGUGCUUUUUGAGAUUUGUCAGCCAGUUUUAAUCUGUUUAAUGUUACAUUGAUUGUGUAAAAUGCUGACUUUUUAAUCAGACUAUUGUGCAGUAAUAAGUCAAACGCCUGCCAGAGAUCUAAGUAUGUUAUGUCAACACAGUUAUCUUUGUCAUCUAAACUUGUAAUCCCUGCAAAAAACAAUAUCUGGUUUGUUUGGCAAUGUACAUAUUCAGUAUUCCAAAAUGUAGUAAGUCAAGAAGCUCCUUGGCCAAUGUUUUUAAAACUCUGCAAUGCAAAUUAUCUGGUCUUGUAGAUUUUUAAAUAUUUAAUGUUAGGAGAUGGUGUUUAAUGUCCUCAUUGGUCAUUGUUGGAAUAGAAAGUGUUUCAUUAUCAGUGUAAGCUGUAAGUGUGUCAACCUGGUUCUUUCCAAAUACAAAACAGAAAAAAUAUUUAUUGAACACUCCAAUCUUUUCUGCCUCCUUGACAGUUUGACCAUAUCCAUCUAGCAACCCUAUACCGAUCCUAGGAUUUUGGGGCUAGGUUCACAGAGGUUCUUAGGUGUUGCAAUGCCUAACUCAGGUGCUCUGCUGCCUCAUGGAAUUCUCGGCCCCGACUUAGGCUGCAGGCUCCCUAUACGAUGCAAGUGGAGAGUUAGGCACCAAAGAAGAGGAUUCUCAGAUGCCAGCAAACUGAACAGGAGUGAAAUGCCUAGAUUCUCAAAGGUGUCAAAGUCCUGUUGAUUUGGGUCUUAGUCAUAUGGCUGAUGGGCUGGAGAGAGGCACCUCCCUCUGCUUAGGAUUCUCAGCCAGGAACCCUCCCCCACAGUUGGGCUCCUAAGCCAGGUCAUUCCUUUCUCUAAUACCCAGAGAGUGAGACACACGCUGACACUCCCACCUAUUAUGGGACUUAAACCCAGGCCUCUUAUGUCCUAGGUGAGUGCCCUAACCACCAGGCUAUGAGGUAUUCUGAGGUGGAUCUCUCUCAAUCUAUUUUACUGGAGCUGUUCCACUUUGUAGAAGUAAAUAUUAAUGGGGACAGGGAGAAAGCAACUCCACUGCCCAGUAACUGUUCAGGUCCUGCCAACUUGUGCAAAUGUAUUGUGAGUAAUGAAUGGGAUUGUGAUUGAAGUCUCUGUUUAGAAUCUAUUGAUAAAGAACCCAAAUGAAGUUGGGGUCCCGUUGUUCUAGGCGCUGUAUACUAAUAAGAGGCAGUCUCUGCCUCAGAGAGCUUAUAGUCUAGCGGUGCUAUAUUCUCUACUAGUGUAGCUCUCCUCCCAGUAGAAGGAUUGGGUGAUUUUAAUAUCGAGGGGAAGUGCUUUGCAGCCAACACUCAGGGUGGCCAGUUCAUGUGAAAUUUCUAUGACUUUUAUAACUUUACUUCGUCUUAGCAGCCACUUGCAAACUUGCUUGCAGCUGUCUUUCAGCUCAGUAUUUCUGACUAUGGCCACCAGAGGCCACUGCUGGGAACCAAGCAGGUGGCUUUGGAGCGCAGGUUCCUCCAUGAAGCACCCUGGCUCCCUGAAGAGCUUCUGCCCUGCUCCUUGCUUUGUGAGCAGUGAGGGAGGUGCCAGCUGGCCGGGCAGAAGCAGCAGCUUCCUUGCAGUUUAAUGUAAUGCCAGGGAGGGUGGGAUGGAAAAGUGAAAGCAUUGGGGAUGUAUAGGGAUAAAGGAGAGUGACCUUUACCUCCCUCCACCGGCACGAGAGGUGCUCUGUCUGACCUCACCUACCCUCUGCUGCAGAACUGUGAGGGACAGGGGCCUUAGGAGGAACGGGACAGGGGAGAAGAGGCCAGCACCCAGAUCAAGGUGUAUACAGCAAGUAAUUAGGGAGAGCGCCCCAGGGGAUUCUUAAGGUGAGCACAGGAGGAUGCUGGGGAGAGUGUCCGUCCUGUCUGUCAGGAGGAAGAGGAGGGUAUUUUACACACACACACACACACAGAGGGUGGUCUUCCUGUUCUGAAAUAUAAAAUCAGAAGACAGACUGAAAAUUAAAUAUGACAUCCCUACUUCGUCACAGUGCCCUGAGGGUUCAGUCAUAAUCGGGAAUGCUUGAUGGGGGACAUGUAAUGAUUUUUAAGUUAGUUUCAUGAGUUUUUGUUUUUGUUCUUGUUGUGCCCCCUUGGGGGUUGUUAAUAGGAAAUACUUGAUGGCGAUGUAACCAGGUGUGAUACUGACUCUUUUAAUGGCCAUGAGCAGGGUCCCUAAGCCUGCCAUCAUCUCUGGAUGGAACGAGAGGAAGAGCUGUGUGCUCCAAUUCUCCAGGAGUCAGAGGAAAGGGAGAUCCUCUUUGGGGCCUCCACAGGAUUGAAUGAGCAUGAGGAGAAGAACCCGCAGGAAGAUGGUCCUGAGAAUCUGGAACAGUAUGGUACAAUAUCAGAGGGGUGUGAAGAGAAUGUUUUCCAGAGCCCUGAUGAGGAGGGGGCCUAUGAGGGCCAGUACAUGUCAGAAACACAUCAGGGAGACCUUCCUGGUAAGAUACUGGGUAACUCUGUUCAUCCAGAAAGAGAUUUGGAAGCUCUUCAAGGUAUCAUCAUCCACCAGAGAAUUCCUAUAGAGGAGAGACCCUAUGUAUAUACUGAAUGUGGGGAGGGCUUCAGUCAGAGCUCGAACCUUACACAGCAUGAAAUAACACAGACAGGAGAGAAACCACAUAAAUGUACUGAAUGUAACAAAAGUUUCAGUUGGCGCUCAGACCUAAUUAAACACCAGAGAACCCACACAGGUGAGAAACCCUACAUAUGUAGUGAAUGUGGGGAAAACUUUAGUGUGAGCUCUCACCUUUUCACUCACAAGAGAACCCACACAGGAGAGAGACCUUUCCAUUGUAACGAGUGUGGGAAAAGCUUCAGCCGGAACUCUCACCUUAUUAACCACCAAAGAAUCCACACCGGAGAAAAGCCCUUUGAAUGUGCUCAGUGUGGGAAGAGCUUCAGUGAUUUCUCAACACUUACCCAGCACCAGAGAACCCACACGGGUGAGAAACCCUACGUAUGUGUUGAAUGCGGGAAAAGCUUCAUCCAGAGCUCACACCUCGUUAGGCACCGGAGAAUCCACACAGGAGAGAAACCCUAUAAAUGUGCUGAGUGUGGGAAAAGCUUUCGUUACAAGAGUCACCUUGCACAGCACCAUAAACUCCACAUGGAGUAGAAAGCACAGCCAUGAGAGCCCCUGUCCUGCACACAGAAACUCAUGCAUAAAUUAUUAUAUGGUGUGAUGACAUCAAGAAGGAACUACAAAGGGAGUGGGCACAUUCUUAGUGCAGGUAGAUUGUUCUAGGAUGGAUGGGGGGCUCUGAGUAUUGGGAAUGAGUUUGAUGUUGAUAGGAAUCAAUCAUUUGGGGAUCGGGGGGAACAAGGAGAGAGAGGCAGCUGAGGGAGUUGAUCAUUUGGGGUUCAGAGGGCUGGGAAGUGGGAGGAAUUAGGGCACUGAGGGAAUUUGGUGCUAAGGAACAUUGUUUGGAGUACAGCAAAAUAGAGGGUCAAGAGGGGAAAUAUAUAUCUCAUUGUCUUACUAAGAAGUCAAAAAUGAUAAAUUAGGCUCUGAGACAGAUACCUGGCUCAUAAGAUGUCAGAGCCAAAAUCCUGGGAAAUGCCUCACUUACUGAACUGAGGAAGACAAAGUGCCCUCUGUUCUCUCUGGCAAUGUCUCCAGCAAUUGUUUCCUCAUUUUAGAUAAUAUUUAUUUGUAGCUGCUAUUUUAGGAGCUCAGUUAAAUCUGGGCAAAAACGUCCCAGUUUUCUGUACAUGUUAUAAUAUCUAGUUUUCUGUUGCGUUGUGUCUCCCCCUCUGAAAUAAAACUUUUUUUAAAAAAA